GCUCGGGGCCUUUUCAAAUCGGGAUCCGUUACCGCUUUCCCGGCCGCCGCCAUUGUCGCGCUCGGAGCCUCUCAGCGCAGGCGGCCGAGGCGGAGGCCGCGGCUGCGGGAUGGCGGACGCCGACAAGCCCGAAGCGCUUAGAGCCGCAGGCGACGACAGCUCGCAUCAGCAGCCCACGGAGUCGCCUGGCCAGCUCCGGCGAGAACCUCACCCGCCGGAGCAGGAGAAACAGCCGCCACAGCACAGCAGCAGCUCCAAUGGCGUUAAAAUGGAGAAUGAUGAACCAGUCAAAGAAGAGAAAUCUGAAUUAAAAGAAAAAUCUAUGGGAAAUAAGAAAGCCAAUAGAUUUCAUCCUUAUUCAAAAGACAAGAAUUCAGGCACUGGAGAAAAGAAGGGUCCAAAUCGUAACAGGGUUUUUAUUAGCAACAUCCCAUAUGAUAUGAAGUGGCAAGCCAUUAAAGAUCUAAUGAGAGAAAAAGUUGGUGAGGUUACAUACGUGGAGCUCUUUAAGGAUGCGGAAGGAAAAUCAAGGGGUUGUGGUGUGGUUGAAUUCAAAGAUGAAGAAUUUGUAAAGAAAGCACUAGAAACUAUGAACAAAUAUGAUCUUAGUGGAAGACCCUUGAAUAUUAAAGAGGAUCCUGAUGGAGAAAAUGCUCGUAGGGCAUUGCAGCGAACAGGAGGAUCGUUUCCAGGAGGACAUGUACCUGAUAUGGGAUCAGGGUUGAUGAAUUUACCACCUUCCAUUCUCAAUAAUCCAAACAUUCCUCCUGAGGUUAUCACUAAUUUGCAGGCUGGUAGACUUGGUUCCACAAUUUUUGUUGCUAAUCUUGACUUCAAAGUUGGUUGGAAGAAGCUAAAGGAAGUGUUCAGCAUAGCUGGAACUGUAAAGCGGGCAGAUAUUAAAGAAGACAAAGAUGGCAAGAGCAGAGGAAUGGGCACAGUCACUUUUGAACAAGCAAUUGAAGCAGUUCAAGCAAUUUCUAUGUUCAAUGGGCAGUUUUUGUUUGAUAGACCUAUGCAUGUGAAAAUGGAUGACAAGUCUGUCCCUCAUGAAGACUACCGUUCACAUGAUAGUAAAACACCACAAUUGCCACGUGGUCUUGGAGGUAUUGGAAUGGGACUUGGUCCAGGUGGACAGCCUAUUAGUGCCAGCCAGUUGAACAUAGGUGGUGUAAUGGGAAACCUAGGCCCAAGUGGUAUGGGAGUGGAUGGUCCAGGUUUUGGAGGAAUGAAUAGGAUUGGAGGAGGAAUUGGGUUUGGUGGUCUGGAAGCAAUGAAUAGCAUGGGAGGAUUUGGAGGAGUGGGCCGAAUGGGAGAGCUAUAUCGUGGUGCGAUGACCAGUAGCAUGGAGAGAGAUUUUGGACGUGGUGAUAUUGGAAUAAAUCGAGGCUUUGGAGAUUCCUUUGGUAGAAUUGGCAGUGCAAUGAUUGGAGGGUUUGCAGGAAGAAUAGGAGCUUCUAACAUGGGUCCAGUAGGAUCUGGAAUAAGUGGUGGAAUGGGUGGCAUGAACAGUGUGACUGGAGGAAUGGGGAUGGGACUGGAUCGGAUGAGUUCCAGCUUUGAUAGAAUGGGACCAGGUAUAGGAGCUAUACUGGAAAGGAGCAUCGAUAUGGAUCGAGGAUUUUUAUCGGGUCCAAUGGGAAGCGGAAUGAGAGAAAGAAUAGGCUCCAAAGGCAACCAGAUAUUUGUCAGAAAUCUGCCUUUUGACUUGACUUGGCAGAAACUAAAAGAAAAAUUCAGUCAGUGUGGUCAUGUAAUGUUUGCAGAAAUAAAAAUGGAGAAUGGAAAGUCAAAAGGCUGUGGAACAGUCCGAUUUGACUCCCCAGAAUCAGCUGAAAAAGCCUGCAGAAUAAUGAAUGGCAUAAAAAUCAGUGGCAGAGAAAUUGAUGUUCGCUUGGAUCGUAAUGCAUAAUUUGAAACCACGGUUGGAACAUUCUUACAUCUGUUUUGCUGAAUCUCCUAGUAAAAGUCAUUUUUUUAAGUAAUACUGUAUGCUUAUAGAAGUUGUAAAGAUGAACUUUUAAAACUCCCACCAGCUUUUAACAGUAUAGUGUUAAAUAUACUGUGAUUUUUGUUAAUCUCAAGUUUGGGUUUUAAAGACAGCAAGUCUGGUCAUUCAGUUUAAAUGAAUGGUUAUACUAUUUUUAAUGAAAUAAGCCAUUUUCUUGUUAUUUUCAGUUCUACAUAGCGGGAUUUGUUUGUUCAAGUGUUCCCAGCUUUUAUCAACUUACUGUAAGGGACAUUUGCUUCAGGAGCCCUCAACGACCACGUAAAAACUCUGGAUACUUGAAAUCCCCAUACUGGAAAGCCCUCAUGAAGAGCCCAUAUAGAAAUAGAGAUGCCUGAGGAACCUCUGAUGUUCCCACAGUUUUGAGUCUUUCCAUCCUUGGCACUGGAAGUGUGAAGGAAUAAGCUUCCAGAUAACUCCAGCCCUCUCUUCAGACUAUGUCAGCAUAAAAGACCUUGAGCAAGAACCACCUAGCUGGGGCCAAUAAACCCCCAAAGCUGUGAGAGCUUUACAAACUGAGAACUCUGAUUACCCUUGUUGCACAGUGGAGCUGGCUGGAGCAGAGAGUUCAGCACUUUGUGUGAGAUCAGAGCUGUAAAUGAGCCCAAGUUGUCUGCAAAGCCCAAACCCCACAGAGAAUCAUCCACUGUUGCAGAGAGAAUUUCUAAGAUGAAAGAAGAUUUCUUUUUUUCAUGGUGAAGUCUCCAACAGUUAAAACUGGGGCUUCUCCUGCUUCAUGAUGUCCAUGAAUUAUUUUGGAGCUAUCUUGGAGAACUUAUUCAAAGGAUCAAAAGUGUUUGAUAUCUUAUCAAAUGCUGAAAAUCAGAGCAAAUACUGCAGGAAACGUAAGCAAAAAAACUUGAAACUUGCAGAGAGGAGAAGCUGCUUGAGAGAAAAGCUCACCCAGCCUGUUUUAACAUCUUGAGCUCAUCCCAGAGAUGGUAUUGAGUGUUCUGGAGAAAAGGGAUGCAGAGGGAGCCAUCUUCAAGCACAAGGUGAGAGCAGGAAAAUCUCACAUAUUAAGUUGGUCUAGAGGCAGGCCAAGCUGGAGAGCAGCAGGGACCCCUGCCUAGCAGAGCUCUGGGAUGGGCAAGACUUUCUGGGUAAAGGUCACUGAAGCACCUGGGCAGGAUGGGCGUGGGCUCUCUGCUUUGAGAAGUCAGACUUCAAGGGACUGUGUGGACAGGAAUCUUGAAGAUGUCAGAAGAAGUCAUUAGAGAAAUAAGGACUUGACCCUUUUCUUCAGGGUUCCUUGUCAAUCUUCCAAACACUGUAGGGGAAAAAGGCUGGAAUCAAGUCUGAGAGACCAUGUAUAUCCAACCCUGAAUGACAUGUGCUUUGAGAUAUAUGUAAACUGAUGAGAAGAAAAUACUGUUUUUGGCUCUGAUGUCACUGGCUCUGAGUUCACCAGACAUUUUUUUUAGAAGACCUUGUUUCCCUUCAAUAUUUCUCCAACAUGCUGCCUCUGUUCAUAUAGAUUUCUGAGUUUUGUGCCUCCAAGAAGAGAUUGAUCGGACUGCUGCAUUCCUUUUGUGAGGAUUAGGACUUUGGGGACCAGGAGCUGAAUUCUUAAGGGCUGUGGUUAUAUUAAUAGGUUUGCACCCCUAUGUGUGAAAAAGUUACUUCCCAGUUGGGGCUAAGAAUAGAUCACCCACUUUUGUAGCUUCCUGAGGUUUCCUCUAUCACAUUAUUGAACAUCAGCUCUCCCCUUCUAUAGCAGCUCCACCUGUAAUUGCUUUUCUAUGCUUAGAACAGGUAAUCCAUUUUUAGUUGCACUAUUAAAAACAACACCAUUGAUUA